rnacentral:rRNA from 1 species
UGGGUAAUCUGCCCUCGAUUCUGGGAUAGCCCGGGGAAAACCCGGAUUAAUACCGGAUAGCCUCUCGAGCUUUCGAGCUUGUGAGAAAAGGUAGCUUCGGCCUCCGAUCGAGGAUGAGCCCGCGGCGGAUUAGCUUGUUGGUGGGGUAAUGGCCUACCAAGGCGACGAUCCGUAGCUGGUCUGAGAGGACGAUCAGCCACACGUGGGACUGAGACACGGCCCAGACCUCCGUACGGGAGCAG